UGGUGGCUGUAGGUUCUACAGGCAGGACAGAGGGAGUUGCUGAGGCAUUGAGACGGUGAUGGUGGCUGUAGGUUCUACAGGCAGGACAGCGGGAGUUGCUGAGGCAUUGAGACGGUGAUGGUGGCUGUAGGUUCUACAGGCAGGACAGAGGGAGUUGCUGAGGCAUUGAGACGGUGAUGGUGGCUGUAGGUUCUACAGGCAGGACAGAGGGAGUUGCUGAGGCAUUGAGACGGUGAUGGUGGCUGUAGGUUCUACAGGCAGGACAGCGGGAGUUGCUGAGGCAUUGAGACGGUGAUGGUGGCUGUAGGUUCUACAGGCAGGACAGAGGGAGUUGCUGAGGCAUUGAGACGGUGAUGGUGGCUGUAGGUUCUACAGGCAGGACAGAGGGAGUUGCUGAGGCAUUGAGACGGUGAUGGUGGCUGUAGGUUCUACAGGCAGGACAGAGGGAGUUGCUGAGGCAUUGAGACGGUGAUGGUGGCUGUAGGUUCUACAGGCAGGACAGAGGGAGUUGCUGAGGCAUUGAGACGGUGAUGGUGGCUGUAGGUUCUACAGGCAGGACAGAGGGAGUUGCUGAGGCAUUGAGACGGUGAUGGUGGCUGUAGGUUCUACAGGCAGGACAGAGGGAGUUGCUGAGGCAUUGAGACGGUGAUGGUGGCUGUAGGUUCUACAGGCAGGACAGCGGGAGUUGCUGAGGCAUUGAGACGGUGAUGGUGGCUGUAGGUUCUACAGGCAGGACAGAGGGAGUUGCUGAGGCAUUGAGACGGUGAUGGUGGCUGUAGGUUCUACAGGCAGGACAGCGGGAGUUGCUGAGGCAUUGAGACGGUGAUGGUGGCUGUAGGUUCUACAGGCAGGACAGCGGGAGUUGCUGAGGCAUUGAGACGGUGAUGGUGGCUGUAGGUUCUACAGGCAGGACAGAGGGAGUUGCUGAGGCAUUGAGACGGUGAUGGUGGCUGUAGGUUCUACAGGCAGGACAGAGGGAGUUGCUGAGGC